GGCCGGCUCUUCUGCCACGACUACGGCUCGCCUCGACCCGAGAUCCACCGGCGGCCGGCGGGCGACCUGCUCCUGCGGCAGGGUUCCGGCUCACCCCGACCGCAGGAGCAGAUCCACCGGCGGGGUGAGUCAGGACAAGUAGAUGCGCGGGGUAUUCGAUUCUUUUCCGGUGCUUUGUUUCGUUUCGACCUAGAUUAGGUUUUCUUUCAUGAACGAGAUCUGUCAUGAGAAAGCAAUGGCUUCUGCUGGUGAGCAUCAAGUGCUUGUUUGUGUUCAUGUAUUGUUGUGCAUCCGCGAUUUAGACUUUGGUUGGGUGUUGCUGUGUUCCUGCGUGUUCGCUCUGAGGGUCUUUUCCAUUUUGAUAACAGGUGCCGGCGCAGUGAUCACUCUGAGGUUUCAGUUGAUGAACGCGGUCUGUUAUGAUCAAGCAAUGGCUUCCAUCUGCUGGUAAGCAUCAAGUGCUUGUUUUUGUGCAUGCACUCCAGGACCAGCAAGGAGACGAGUCGAAAACUGCUCGGGCCAUCAGAGACACUGCCUUGCCGAAUGAUGCGCUGCCUCGCCUUCUCAAGGAUGAGAGUGCAAGCAAGGAGAUCGAUCCUUGGCAGGCAGUCAUACAGAUAUUGUCAAAAGCAGUGAUCUUGAACACCUUUUGCCAUAUGGGUUUGCUGCUCUGUUCAUCAUGCUGUGAUGGCAAGGGUAGACCGUGAACUUGUCGAGCAACUUUUUGCUGACAAGCGUAUCCAGGUCCUGAAUUGUUUCGACAGCCACCCUUGCAUGGGGUGUCAACUUGCCUGCACAUACUGUUAUUAUAAAGGGCACUCGGAUUUAUAAUCCGGAGGAAGGUGCUUGGACAGAAUUAUGUCCUCUGGAUGUCAUGCAGAUGCUUGGUCGUGCAGGUAGGCCUCGGUAUGGCGCACACGGAGAGGGGAUAAUCUUAACUGGCCACAGUGAAUUGCAAUACUACCUCUCCCUUAUGAAGCAACAGCUGCCUAUCAUGAGUCGGUUCAUAUCCAAGUUGGCAGAUCAGUUAAAUGCAGAGAUUGUUCUGGGUACUGUUCAGAAUGCUCGGGAAGCAGGCUCUUGGCUUGGCUACACUUAUCUCUACAUCCGGAUGCUGCGGAAUCCGACACUGUAUGGCUUACCAGCAGAUAUCAUGGAGAUAGACAAAACGCUAGAUGAGAGGAGAGCUGACUUGGUAAGUACAUGUUAUACCCUGUUUUCUGAAGCUGAGAGAGGGAGGCGGCUAGGGUUAGGGUCCGGCUCCUCUGGGAGCCGGGCAAUAGAAUUCUUCUUAUUGCUUAAUUCUCAAAAUAGUCUUACAGCUAGUAUAUAUAACCACGAUGCUAGAAAAUAAGAUAACUUGUGGGCCAAGCCCCUAACUAAACCUGCCCGGUGGGUCUCCUACGGCCAUAAGUCUGCCCGGUCAUAACAGAUGUGCUUUCUGUCGUUUUUGUAGCCCUUCUAUCUGGUUUGAGAUUCAUUUGUUUUGUAUGUAUAAGGAUGACUCAUUUGGGUUUUUGUGAUCCCCAUUUAUCUUUGGCCCUCUGCCUCUCUGCAUGUUGGUGAUCCCCAUUUAUCUUUGGCCCUCUGCCUCUCUGCAUGUGUGUAUCAUCAGAACUCAGAAACGAGGCAGGGAGGACAUGGCCAGGCCUGCACUUGUCAACCCUCUGCUGCCGCCCAAGGGCCCCUUUCUAUCUUUUUUUUGAAUGAUCAGGGCCCUCUGCCUGUUACAAUCACAUCCCAGUAGAAAACAUCACUGGCCUUCUCCAAAAAAGGUGCUAUGAAGGGCCCACCCGGCAUAACUUGUGGGUCCGCCCCUGCAUGGACACUUCUCUGUCUUUCUUCGGUAGCACAGUUUAGUUCUUGGAUGUCACUCUUCUGGCUAUGACCGACAUUAUGUCUUCUGGAUACUCAUGUUUUGUGUAUUAGGGAUGCAGUCGCUGCUGGAAAAACUGUUCGUUUUUUCUUCUUUUAUAAUUUGUUCCUUCAGUUUUCUAAGUGGUUCAUGCUCUGAAAAUUCUGUAAAGUAGUAUUUUUGGAGCAUGAUUCAUGCUCUAAAAAUUGUGAUAUUCAUGGUUCAUGCUUUCAAGACCAUUCUGGACUUCACAUGUGUGAUUUGCUUUUGUCAACAAAUAUCUACAAAUGAUUUUUUUAAGCUUCACAAUUAUCUGCUGAUGCCAUUAGCUAUAAUUUAGGGCAUGUCAUAUGUUUUUUUUCCUAAUUAGCACUUGGAAUCAUCAAUCAUUAGACAUUGUGAAAAUAAGUUUCAGCUCCAGUGCCGUACAUAUAUUGUUACAACCGUUUCAGUUUAAUGAAAUAAAAGAACUGAAGCUUCUUUGCAUUUGGAUUGGACAUGCAUGGUUCGGAUGAUGGACUCUCUUGCCUGAACAAGUGCUGCAAUGCGAUUCUGAAGGUAAAUUCGUUGAGCUUGCGAGGGUAUUGCGGCUGACUCAAGGGGCACUCUUCAACUAGGCCGAUGAAACUGGAAUUGCUGAAGAGGAGGACCUGAACAAGAUGAAUGUAUGUAUUUCAUUCUUCUAACUAUUGUAAAGGUUGGAGCAAAAGAAGUCCACUGUCAAAAGGGAGGCUUUGCAAGACACUUUUAAAAAGGGGACUUUGCCUGACGCGCCGUUUCAGGUAGAAAUAGACCUGAUGAAAUGAAGUGUGGAAGCCAAUUCUUAUCAUGGUGCUCUGCCAGGCAAAUUCAGUCACGAGAUGCAUCAUGGCGGAACUUUUCUUGGGUAUGGCUCAAACAGAAGCUGGCAUUUAGACCAAAAAAAGUUGAUUGCUUUCAUGAAAAACUGGGUAUGGUUCUCGGCAGAUGCUCUUCCAUGUUUUCGAGCUCAGAGUGGGAAGAAGGCAGGUUUUGGUUGGCCGUAGCUCCUUUGGCUAUUCUGGUGCUGGAGCAAGGAAAGUUAACUGCAGAUCAAGCGGCGAAAGGGCCGGCGGCAACUUAUCCAUGGAAAUGGGAUUGGCACGUGAUGGUUUGUUUUCCUUCGGCUGCCAGGGUCGAAUAAGCUAGGUGCUAUCUGGCCUUUCCGCUAAAAGGGACAGGAGCUUUUGUGUCAGUUAAGAAGAUGUUUUUGGAGGCAAUUGCUAUUUGCUAAAGGGAAACUGACUACUGUUUGGGUUAGGGCUGGUGGUGUCCCUGAUGAACUUAAGUACUAUCAAGGCUUAUGUGAGGUUGGUUCAGUGUUGUGUUAUAGAUAUUGAUAUGGGCCUUUUAAGAAGAGAAGAUACAGACAAGAUUCCUCCUGCAGCCGAGUUGAUCUACUAAGAGCCAAGAGGUACUGAUCAGCUGGGACAGCUUCCUGAACUGCCUACAAUUCAAGAGACAACUGGCACAUGUAGGCAUGUGGGAUUCUGCAACAAGGUCAGACAAACCUGAGGAUGUAGGUGGUCAAGAGGUUCAGAUUAUUCAGAAGGAAGAUUUUGAUAAACAAGUGCAACGGGAAGUGGAGAGGAGGAUGAACAUUUUCCUUCAGCAAAAAGAGGUGAAACGACUCAGAGAACAAUUGCUCAAGAGCAGUAAAAGGCUGACUUUCAGAGGCAGUAUAAAGAGGAGCCGGCUGCUCUGGAUAAUGAACAUGGCACCAUCUCCCUUUCUGAUGGUGCUGAUGACACUAUCACAUCUCAAGAUAGGGGGAGCAGAAUCUCUGAUCAAAUUCCAGAUGAGCUGGAGGGCAUUGACAGUAAGGCAUAUAGGGAUGAUCUUGAAUGAAACCAACAAAUGUCAGAUUUCUGAACCUGGGGUGGAGAACAAUGAGUUUACUUCUUCGAGGGCAGAUCAUGAUCAAGACAACACAGUGAGGAGGAGCUCAAGACUUGCGAGGGUCAAAAACUUGGAGAUCCAAAAGGACAAUGGCUAUGAGGAGGAUGGAGGCGCAGCUUCUACUUAUUUAUUGUCACAAAAAGAAACACAUUAUGCAGCAGAGGAUUAAUGAAACUGACGUGUCUUAUGGUCCGCGAUGUUCACCUCUUCUGUUGUGGGGGAAGCCAGAAAUGCUAGAAAGGAAGUGAUGCAGAAGAGCUCACAGUGGGGUUGCUUUCUUCUCCCCGAUGGAGAAAGUUCUAAUCUUGGUGAAUUUAAAGCAUACCUCCCAUCUGUAGUAUCAUCCAGAGUUUGUAAUAUCGCCAAGAAGAUGCCUAACAAUAUACAGUUGAAGGUCUCAGUACAAAAGUUGGCUCAUGUGCUACUGCAAGGUAAUGCCAAAGCUGGCGAAUUUUGGGCUUUUUUGGUGGCUUUGCUCCUCUUUUGAAGAAGUUACGAUCAGAGAAGACUGGAUAAGACAUGGAAGCUACAGCCAAAUUUCAAUGGUAAUUGAUUACCAUUAAAUACCCAUAGCACAACAUCAUCAGUAGUCAAUAAGAGUAAUUUGCUAUCAACAUUAUUUCAUCCAUGACUGAGAUAUAUUCACUCUUGAAAAUAGCUGAAUUGGAUCAAUUCUGAGAACAUGAAGCUCUUGCUUGUAAGCGUACAUAAUCCGGAGUAGCAUGAAUGACAUGCUCUGUUAUUUCAUAUUUGUCAUUGGUCUGACCUUUGAUAGAUCAAGUUGAUUUCUUUAUCUCGUUUGAAGUACGUAGACUUGCCAAGUUUGCUAUGGACUGCAGCGUCAGGUCAUUGCCAAGGUCUGCGUCUACGUCUACGACCGCUACUUCUUCUGUGACGCCCACAAGAGGGACAUGGUCUACAUUGAGGACUGCUACGUACGUACAAUGGUGAGCCAAUGAUGGCACCGACGAGGAGACAAUGGUGAAGGUGACUGUCGGAUCAGUGGAGGGUGGUGACAGUAAUAAGAGUUAUCUGUAAUGCAUUUUCCAUACCAUCAGGCCGUAUCAUCGUAUGUCUUCUUGCUAUAAAUACAAACAUAUGUGCUACACUAUCUUUGAACCAACUAUAAUGGGUGGUCCUCUUAUCUCUA